UCACUGAGUCAGAUGACGGUCUUUACUACUGUGGAACUGAAGAACAAAAAGUGGAGGAUAAGGAGCAAAUAACUUCUAAAUAUAUUUAUAUCUACAGCAACAUCACAACAAGAAUCAUAUUCAAUGCAGAACCGAAUGCGACCUCUUGCCCCAAGAUGCUUCAGGACUGUAAUGAGUGCUGGAUUCUGAUCUUCUGUCUGUGUCCAGUUGUAUCUAUUGUCUCCUCUCUCCUCUCCUCACUUGUGGUCUAUCACUGCUGUAAGAAGGCUGAAGAACAUCCUGUUGAUCAGCAAAGACCUGACACUAGAGGUCAUCCAAGACAGAGCCAGGAUGACGAUGUGUGCUAUGCUGCUGUGGAAAUCCAUCAGAAAUCAAAGAGACCAAAGAAGAAGAAGGAACCGCAGACUUCUGACUUCUGCACCUAUUCUGCUCUUAAUACAUCUAAGAUGUAACAGGCCUAAGACCAGAGGAACAAAAAAAAUGAAUUUUAUAUUGUUGAUAUAUAUAGACCAUUCUGUCAUUGCAUAGUUCAAAUAUUGCUGGCUGUAUUAACCACAACAUUCAUCACGGAAAAUAUGCGUCAUGUGGUCUUAUUUCCUUGCGCCACUGAGAUGACUUUUGAAAAUUAAAGGAGCUGUAAAAAUCAGAAAUGAAGAACAAUCUCAUAAGUGUUUGUCGUGGUUGAUUACACUUCAUCUUCAGAAUCUUUAUAUUCUUAAUUGAGAUCAAUUUCAUAAAGUUUGUAAUGGCUGCUGGUCUGAAUCUAGACUGUUCUCUGGCAAUUUCCUGUUUUUAUCUCAA